UACAGAGGGUGCGAGCGUUAAUCGGAAUUACUGGGCGUAAAGCGAGUGUAGGCGGUCUCGUAAGUCGGGUGUGAAAGCCCCGGGCUCAACCCGGGAAGUGCACUCGAAACUGCGAGGCUAGAGUAUCGGAGAGGUUGGUGGAAUUCUCGGUGUAGAGGUGAAAUUCGUAGAUAUCGAGAGGAACACCGGUGGCGAAGGCGGCCAACUGGACGAAUACUGACGCUGAGACUCGAAAGCGUGGGGAGCAAACAGG
rnacentral:rRNA from 1 species